rnacentral:rRNA from 1 species
CAGUCGCCACGGGAAAACGUAGGGUGCAGGCGUUGUCCGGAAUUAUUGGGCGUAAAGAGCUCGUAGGCGGUCUGUCGCGUCGAAUGUGAAAACCCGUGGCUCAACCCCGGGCCUGCAUUCGAUACGGGCAGACUAGAGUUCGGUAGGGGAGUCUGGAAUUCCUGGUGUAGCGGUGAAAUGCGCAGAUAUCAGGAGGAACACCGGUGGCGAAGGCGGGACUCUGGGCCGAUACUGACGCUGAGGAGCGAAAGCGUGGGGAGCAAACAGGAUUAGAUACCCCUGUAGUCCCUGUCUCUUAUAC